ACCCACUGUGGCUGCCGGGGAAAAGAAGGGAUCACUUGAUAGUAGAUGUAGCUCUCUUGGCAGGUCCUUAAUUGAUUCUAGACGGGGAGAGCAAUGAAGACCUCCAUUGGAGCUUCAAUCCUGCUCUUGGGGCUGCAGCUGGACUGGGUCAGCCUUGGAGAGAAGGUGGAGCAGAGUCCUACCAUGAGUGUCCAGGAGGGAAACAGCUCUGUUAUUACCUGCACUUAUACAGACAGUACUUCAAGCUACUUCCCUUGGUAUAAGCAAGAACCUGGAAAAGGUCUCCGGUUACUUACAUACAUUCGAUCGAAUGGGGUCAAGAAGGAAGAAGAAAGACUCACUGUCUCAUUGAAUAAGACCGCCAAGCAUUUCUCCCUGCACAUCGCAGUCACCCAGCCUGAAGACUCAGCUGUCUACUUCUGUGCAGCAAGUGCACACUGCUUCUGAGACACCUGCUCCCUGUACUCAAACCUGUGACCAGGGCAGCUCCCUUCCUUUGGCAUAAACCUUCAAGUAU